rnacentral:rRNA from 2 species
GGAAAGAUGAAAAGAACUUUGAAAAGAGAGUUAAACAGUACGUGAAAUUGUUGAAAGGGAAACGAUUGAAGUCAGUCAUACCAACGGGAAAUCAACCUUUUGAGCUUUGUCUCGUGGGUUCGAAGAGUUUAAACGCCUUCGGGUUCGCGAGAUUGGGAUCUUCUGGUGUACUUUCUCGUACGGUUAGUCAACAUCGGUUUUGAAUGUCAUAAGAUGACUGGAGGAAUGUAGCUUCGAUCUCGUAUCGAAGUGUUAUAGCCUUUGGUAGAUGUGAUGUUUGAGACCGAGGAUUGCAACGGAUACCCUUCAUGGGCUAUUCGUCUGAUCUCUGAUACGUUGCCUUGACGUUGAAAGCUUGCUUAUGAUGUUAGGGUAUUACGGUCAAAAGGUUAGAACGGAUUAAAUUCGUUAAGGAUGUUGACGUAAUGACUUUAAACGACCCGUCUUGAAACACGGACCA